AUAUCGGUCAUGAUUAUUCAAGGAGACUGACUUGGUCAACUAGUCAGACCGUCUCAGUUUCUCUUUCUCGACGAAGCCUCGACGCCGACCGCUGAACGCCGACGCCAUCUCGCCAUCCGGCGACGGACCACCACCAAUCGAAUCGUCUCAACGCCACCAAGAUCCUUCUAGCCUUGGUUGUUUCGAUUGGCGGCCAUAGAAAGAGAAACGACGGCAAGAAGCUUUUGCUCCUCCGUCGGAUUUCUGGGUUUUCAGGCUGCGAACCCGACUUCAAAUUUCAGUUUAGCUUGGAGUUUAACAAAUUUGGUUUUUGGGAUUUUUGGUUGUUCCCUGCCCUUGACGGAAUUCGUCACCGCCGGCGUUCUCUCUUUCUCCCGACGACCUGAGUCGACUCCAGAGACGUUGGACCAUGGUUGGAAUCGACUUCAUGGCUGCUGAGCUGAGUUAGGCAGAUAGCGUCGAUUUGGGUUUUCCGGCGAAGGACCUCUGUUUGUUUUUGGUUAACAACUCAUCGAUUCAAGAAUAUGGUGAUACAAGGUGAAAGAAGACAGGAGCUAGCAAUUUUAGCUUCCGAUGUUCUUCUUCAAUGGAGUUAGUUUCCUGGAUUUCGUUUGAUACAAAGAGGUUCAACAGAUUUGGUGAAGUUGGAUUUGGUUGACUUACUUGGAGGUUGUGGCUUUGUCUGGGAAUUGUUCUUCUGACUUUGGACUUAAUUAAGACGUUAGGGACUCCAGUUACCCGUGGAGCGGAAUGCUCAAGAUUCUCGGAGUUCGUGAGAAGCCUCGGAUUCCAGAUGCAAGUUGAUAGUGUUGGUGUUGGUGUUGGUGUUGGUGUUAGAAAUUUUGGAGAUGACAUCAUUGUCACAUGUGCAAAGUGUUAAGAGUGGUAUGUUGCCUCCUAAAAUGAAGCAAACAUUUGUUCGAUGAGAUGAUGUUGCAAGAAGGAUUUGAUCUACUUUCCUCCAAAAUGUUCCGAGUUCUUGUUUUGUGAUGUAUAAACUUUUAACAUUGGACUCUAUUUGUAUUUUGUAAUUUAUGGACUUUUGAGUUUUACCAUAUGGAAGUAUGGAGUAUGAACUAUGAAGUAUCAACUUUAUAAUUUGUGUUUAAGAUGUAUGAACUUUCAAACUAUUUUUAGUGUUUUGAUUGCUUUU